rnacentral:rRNA from 1 species
UACAGAGGGUGCAAGCGUUAAUCGGAAUUACUGGGCGUAAAGCGUGCGUAGUCGGCCAUUCAAGUCGGGUGUGAAAGCCCCGGGCUCAACCUGGGAAUUGCAUUCGAUACUGUGUGGCUAGAGUUCGGCAGAGGGAAGUGGAAUUUCCGGUGUAGCGGUGAAAUGCGUAGAUAUCGGAAGGAACAUCAGUGGCGAAAGCGACUUCCUGGACCAGAACUGACGAUCAGGCACGAAAGCGUGGGGAGCAAACAGG